AAUCAACGCUGGCGGCGUGCCUCAGACAUGCAAGUCGAACGAUUAAAGCUCUCUUCGGAGAGUGUAUAAAGUGGCGCACGGGUGAGUAACACGUAAGUAAUCUACCUUCGAGUGGGGAAUAACGUCCGGAAACGGACGCUAAUACCGCAUAAUGCAGCGGCAUCGCAAGAUGACAGUUGUUAAAGAUUUAUCGCUUGAAGAGGAGCUUGCGGCAGAUAGCUAGUUGGUAAGGUAAUGGCUUACCAAGGCUACGAUCUGUAACCGGUCUAAGAGGACGGUCGGUCACACUGACACUGAAUAACGGGUCAGACUCCUACGGGAGGCAGCAGUCGGGAAUUUUGGGCAAUGGGCGAAAGCCUGACCCAGCAACGCCG
rnacentral:rRNA from 1 species